CAUAGAGACAUUUCUUACAGACCAGGCAUGGAUUUUGAUUUUGUGUUGCUGGGCAAACAUCUCCUUUCCAGCAAAGAGUUUCUCUAUCCCAUCCCCCUUCCUCUUUCUAGUUUUGCAAAUCAUCUUUUCUAACAAUAGAAGGACCCUUAUUCUGCUAGUUGCUGCAUUCCUGGUGGAAGGUACAAAGCCCCUUCAAACUAGCUGAAGGAAGACCAAAAAUUUUCAGCACCUUUCAGGAUUCUCCAUCCUUCCUGGCUGACAGUGUUGGUGCAUCUGUGACUGACUGGCUGAAGAAGUCUUGCACAAAAGAAAAAGGCGCAGCUUAUGCCCAUCAUGAAUUCAGGAUCCCAGGUAAGGAAGUCUCUGGGAAAGGAAACAGGUUUAUUCAGUGGAAAGAUACUUAAAAUCUUAGAGACCACAGCACCGAAUAAGGUAACUGAUAGUACUGUGUUCUUGCUAAUCGUGCUCCACCUGGGUAGGUGGGAGUGAGGUUUACUGGUGGCUGUUUGCAAAGAACAUACCACCUCCAGAUGGGUACAGGGAGCGUCAGACUCGCAUAUCAAACCUGGUGUCUGAUCUUGCCAUCAAGUCAAGGAAAUGGUUUUUAACAGGUUGUGUUUAUGGAUUUCCAAAUCCUGAUUAUAGCAUGAAUGCUGUGGAAGCUAGGAGAGGAUAAAAUUUGUACGCCAGGAGAACCAGUUUCAAUAUUUCAGGGGCAAUACAUAACAGGCAAUAUCAUACAAAAUGUUUAUGCUGUAAUGUAAUCCAUUUGAAAUUCUGAGAAGGGAUGAAUUGACUCUUCAGAGGUGUAAAGACAGGAGCAAAAAUAUGAGCAAAAAGACUAAAGACUUUGUACCAUCAUGGUAGUAUCAACUCCUCCUGAAAUAUCCAUGGCUUAGAAUAUCUUCUGGAUAGAUAAAGAUUUGGAAGAAAACAAUAAGGUGUGCUAAUGAAUAGAUUCAAAGGAAAGUUUUAGUAGAAAAGUCCUGAGAAGAGAUAUCAAUCCCACCUCAUCCCUGUGGAACACUGGAGAUGGAGGACCAUGCUGAGACAUUUGAGUUCCCUGGGUUUUUUGGCUGGUUUGCUGACAACUGUAAUGGCCAUCCAGAGAAGCAGCACCUAGAAAUGCCGGAAUUUAGGCAUUUAGUUCCAUUAGGGUUUUACAGCAUAUAUUUAAUCAAUAUAUCCAAGGAGGCUCCCUGACUGAUCGCUAAGUAUGUUUCAGUAGUUGUAGAAGCCUGACUGCCACUGAGAUGAUGGUACAGGCAGGUGGCAUUCCCAUUACCAUCACUGUUGAUGGUAGUAAUUUUUUUACACUACAGGACACGUGGAAGAUGAUGAGUUCAGCUCCUUCAGAAGAUCCAGUCUUUUCUAGGAAGUCCAAACUGAUUUUUUUCCUGAUGUUCGAGGCAUAAAACUUCCUUGCUGAUAGUUUUUUUACUUUCUAACAAGAUUUCUUCCAUUCGUAGGGAGGAAUCGCUUUUUGCAAGACAGAAUCCAACCUUUAUGUUGUGGAGAACUUUGGCCUGGCUUGAUCUGCGGAACAUUUAAGUAGCCGAAUACACAGUGUUAUUGUUGCUUUGUUAGUCAGGGUUGUCUCAGUCAAUGCAGUGGUACAAUAGCAGACUUCUAAUUUUACCUGGUAGCCCUAGGUUUGAAGACAUGAGAGGAAAUCUGUGUUUGAGACUUUGGCACCAUGAUGUGACAGAGUAUCUUCAUAUUUCUCAAGAAAACAAAUGGUCAGAUGCCUAUGUUGCCUUUUGUGACAAAUAAUCUAUAAUGGCAUUUCUCCACUGAGGAAAAUAUGGCUUGAGGAUGAAGCUCUUAGGAGACUACUUGCAGUAGUUGGUUGUUGGUGAUGGAUGUCUGCUGUUUCCUUGAUUGCUGUUGAUAUUUGGAGAAUGAAAAGUUACCCAUGAAGAUGCUGUAUCUGUUGGAAACUUGUCCAUUGGUCUGUUAGCCUUCUCCCAUAAGGAAGCAGGUGAUAGAUGUUCACUUCUUGCUUUUUUCUACUCAUUGCAGGAAGGAUGACUCUGAGAAUCUGCACUGUAGAGUUCACCUGAGAAGGCUGCAGUGCUGUGUAGCUCCUUUGCAGUUCUAGGCUAUCGCUCUUUUCUAUCUCAAAUUCUUUGUAUGUAAAGGUCCUCCAAGAGUCCUACCUACUUUAGUCAUACUGCAUCUGUGACCUUCUUGGACACAAAAUGAAGGGUGGAAAGAGACAUUCUGGGGAAAUGAACUCAUACAAACAUGGAUAAGAUUUUGAGAGGAAUUAAAAGCAGUUUCAUUAAGGGAUACCUGAUGACCAACAGUGAUUUGAUUUUGUUGCUACAGAGAGUGAGAAAGAACUAAAGGGCUGUUUCAGCUGCUUGGCCACUUCAUCUUGACUGGCUGUAGAGGACACAAAUAGGGCAAUGGCAAGCCAACAGCACUACUGUUCCGGAGAUUUUUCUUUCACCCAUGUGGGUCACGCUGAGAUGGGAACUGCAAGGACAUGAGCUUCAAGAAGAACAAGAAUUUACCAGAGCAUAGGAGAAAAAGAGGUUUAGAAUUUAUCAGUGCCAUGGAGACAUGAUAAAAGAGAAGACACUAGACUUUCUCUUGCAUUUGUAGUGUCAAAAGUCUGAAGUGACCUCAGGAGGCUGGCUAACACAAGUCUUUGUGGAAAGUUGGAAAAAGUCAGGGUUUCAAAUCAACCUGGCUGCUGGCAGGUGGAGCAACUUUAAGGAUUUUCCGGUUUCAGUAUCAGCUGAGGAGAGGUUUUGCUGAUUUGAACACCUCUACCAGAAGCCACGUGCGAGAGUGGACUUUUUAAAUUCAACUUGCCUUUUCACUUGACUGACUCUUGA